GGGCCCGUAGCUCAGUUGGGAGAGCGCCUGCUUCGCAUGUAGGAGGUCGACAGUUCGAAUCUGUUCGGGUCCA
rnacentral:tRNA from 4 species